CAGCUAAGGAGAACUGCAACUGUGCCUCAAGGCCUGGGCGUGGUUCUUGUCGUUUAAUCUCUUCUUUUCUUUUCUCUUCCCUUUGCUGCUUCCUCCCUCCCCCACCCCCUCUCCGAGGCCCAGUGAGGUCAGCUCACAAAUAUUGCUGCAUUUCUCUGAGAUACUCUGGCACAGCUUGGUACCUCGUGUGUGUAUGCAUUUUACCAGCCCGGCAGCAGACAAAGUGGCGAAGCCUGCCGGUGCUGGAAUUCGGGACACGAAGGAUUCAAGUUAUAUUCCUGGCAGAUCUUUGCUGAGCCUGAUGACUUUGCUGCAGUGAAACUUCAAGAAGAAAUCCAGCUCUUUCCCCAGCUCCCAGGGAGGAGGCGGAGGAGGAUGCCCCGGUUUGUGCUGAUACACCCUGUGGCUCCCCGGCGCUAGCAAGCAGCGAUGAACCAGCCGCCUGCCGGGGGCGCUGCAGCUGCUUCCGAGCCUCGCCAGCAUCCGGAGGGGAGCAGCAGCAGAAAGCAGCAGCAGCAGCAGCGAGCGUCCUCUCCGGCAGGCCCCAGGGACAGCCGCCCCGCCGCCACCCCCCCGCGAGCCGCCGCGGCCGCCUCCAAAGGCAGCUGGGCGCGGCCGCCG